UAUACUCCAGCAUAAUAUGCUUCAGGAAAAAGGAAAAGCAGCAAAAGGAAGUAAUGGGACAGAAUCAACUGGUUUCUGGGUGGAUCACCUGAAUCUUUCACUUCAAGUGAGUGGACCAGCCGAGACGCGUUAGCACAGCCAGGACCAUGUCGGUGCUCCCAGCUGCAGAAGGUGUGCUCAGCAGACGGAUGGAGCGAGGGCAGGCAGGGAUCCGUGUCAGCGCCUGUGCCGGGGUAGGAAAGCAAUCGUGUGGUGGCUCUCCAAUACUGCUUUGUGCAAAGGGAACUGCGCAGGAAACUCACUCCAAGGACUAGUGCUUAAAUGUACUCUGAAAUAUUAAUGCAACCUCAUUUUCAGAUGGCAGGACUCUCUUGAAUGAAGCCAUAUGUUGUACUCGUGGGGGACAAGAGGCAGCUUGGUCUUGGCUUGGAGAAAUGUGGUGAUGUUGAGAAGACUGACCUGAGUCAAGUUCAGGUUUUCAGCAGUUUUCUCCUCUACUUUGUCCUUUCUCCUUCAGAUUUUAGAAGACAAGACAUGCUGCAAGAGCAAAGAGGUUUGGUUUUUUGCACCAUAUCACGCACCAAGCAGUUAAACCCCACAGAUUUUUAGGCUGCUGCUGUACUUUUUUCCUCCUUUCAAAGGACUAAAAUUGAACUUUCUCCAAGUGAAAAGCAACAGCCCAAAUUGAUAAAUUACAGUAGAUAUAACCCUGUGUUUUGUUAUUAAGGCUUGGUGUGUUCAGCCUCAGUCUCCCUGGCACAGGGAGGAUCAUCCUGCCUCCUCUCAGAUGUCUGCCCAUACCUCAUGGCAAGUCUCCUGCAGCACCUACCAGCUCAAGCCUUGUUUGGGCUGUUCCUGGUCUCUUUCAUGAUGAGGCACAUCUUGCAUGUGUUACAUCCAUCAGUGAGAGGGCACUACGUGUAGGAGAAGGCUGACAUCUCCUGGUUUUACAGAGGCAUCUAUGGUGCCUCCUGCAGGGGCAGUCUCCAGGCUGGCUGUGGCAUGGUGUUGGUGGUGAUGCAGAUGUAAGCUCUAGCAGCUGCCAGCCCUUCUUGGCCAAAUAUAGUGACUGUUUAAGCCUACCUCUGUCAUUCCUCUACUCUGGUUUGCAUGAGGUGCUGUGCUUUUGAGAUUAUUUUAGGGCUAGCUGCCUCACAGUUGUAUUUCUAAGCGCGGUCAGUCAUCUCCAGGCAGCGUUUUGAAGUGUGCUUGGUUUGUUGAGACACUUUUUGAAAACUGUAGGCUCUUAUAAAUCCCCAAAUGGAGAUGCAGGCAAGUUGUGAUGAUAAGCGUCUUUGCAGCGUCAAGUAUCUCUCUGCAAAUUGUAUGUCUGGCUUUUCCUGCAGCAUCACAGGGAAGUCCUGCGGGGCCCUGUGUUCAGGGGAGGUGUCUCUUCCUCCCUGCUGACAGCCAAAUUGCACAGUGCCGUGGAUAAUUUUAUAUUCAACGCUUCUCUAAUGUUGCAUUUCCAUGUAAAAAAUUGCUGUCUUUGCCCCUAGGAACAUUAUACAGUGGCCUGAAACUAUGUUCAAUAGUCUUAGUAUUAUUUCAUACCUCUCACUGAACAAAACGAAUGAUGAGUUGCUUGUCCCCAAACGGAUGAUGAAUAUGAAACACUACAACAGAGGUUGUGAGGACUGAUGGAUUUGGGCAAUGCCUUUUUUAUGAUUUUCUCUGUAGCUAAGUUCUAUUCAAAACCCUUCUAUUCAGCAACUCACCUGCGAAAAUUAAUUGCGCUGCUUUAUGUAUGUUGGGCUAAUUUCCAUAUUUUACACUACCCUUUCUAAAAUGAGUUAAAAACCCAGUCACUUUAGAAAUCACAACACGAGGAGGUUGGGAAACUACCAUGCAAACAUUAGUUAUCAUUUCUGUUGAAAUAUUUCAUAUUAAUGUAAUUGACCGAGAAUUAGGAUAAUUUUAACAACAUAUGGCAAUUAUGACUGGAAAUGUUUGAGAUACUUCUGAUUUUUUUUAUAUCAUGGCUGUAAGUGUUAGGAGAAACAAUGUGAAAUUCCUCCUGAAUCGAACUAUUUAUUUAUCUCCACUGGAUAAUUUCCUGCAGCCUAAGUGAACUAUUAAAUUAAUCACACCAUA